GAUGAACGCUGGCGGCGUGCUUAACACAUGCAAGUCGAACGAAGCAUUUGCGACAGAUUUUUUCGGAAUGAAGUUGCUCAUGACUGUGUGGCGGACGGGUGAGUAACGCGUGGGUAACAUGCCUUGUACUGGGGGAUAGCAGCUGGAAACGGCUGGUAAUACCGCAUAAGCGCACAAUGAUGCAUGACACGGUGUGAAAAACCCGGGUGGCAUAAGAUGGACCCGCGUCUGAUUUGGCGGUUGGUGAGAUAACAGCACACCAAGGCGACGAUCAGUAGCCGACCUGAGAGGGUGACCGGCCACAUUGGAACUGAGACACAGCCCAGACUCCGACGGAGGGCAGCAGUAGAGAAUAUUGCACGAUGGAGGAAACUCUAAUGCAGCGGCGCCGCGUAAGUGAAGAAGUGAGUCGUUAUGUAAAUCUCUAUCAGCAGGGAAGAUAGUGACGGUACCUGACUAAGAAGCACCGGCUAAAUACGUG
rnacentral:rRNA from 1 species